CAGGGACAAUGAUGUAGAUUCCCGUGCCAAAGGUCAUACGGGGGGAAACAGGAGACCCCUGACGCUAGCCUAGUGCAGUCUGACACCAAGCCCAGGCUUUUCCCCUUCAUGAGGCUGUUUCCCAGAGCCCAUGGAAACACAGCAGUAAGCAGCAAUGAGAAUCCUGAAAAGCCAUGCUCAUGAGGGCCCACCUUCAUCAGGCAUGGGGGGGGGGGGCAGCUAUGAGAACCAGAGAUCCAACUUUAGUAGUUUCAACCCCAAAGGGGCGGGUGUGUCCUCUCCAUUUUCAGAGAUUUCAGAUCCUCAAGCUUUUCUGCUCUGCCAUCCUCAGUAUUUGUCUUCCUUCCAUGUAUGUUAUCUCAUGGUUCUGGAUAGUUGCUGGGGCUCCAGCCAUCACAUCCAGGAGGGAGAAGAAAAGGAUCAAAAUGAGCUUGUGCUAUACUUUUCUUAAAGAGACUUCCAAGCAGUACCACUGAAAAACUUGAGUUUACAUCAUUGGCCACCCCAACUUCUCUGGAAAAGAUUACUUUUAAUUGGGUAUGUUGAUCUCCAGAAUGAAACCGAUGCUGUUACCAAGGAAGAAAGAGAACUGAUGCUGUGUACAUAACUAGCAGUGUCUCCCACACCACAGUGCAUAACUAGCAGUGUCUCCCCCACCACAGUACAUAGCUAACUGGCAGUGUCUCCCCCACCACAGUAUAUAGCUAACUGGCAGUGUCUCCCACACCACAGUACAUAACUAGCAGUGUCUCCCACACCACAGUUCAUAACUAGCAGUGUCUCCCCCACCACAGUACAUAACUAGCAGUGUCUCCCCCACCACAGUACAUAACUAGCAGUGUCUCCCCCACCACAGUACAUAACUAGCAGUGUCUCCCACACCACAGUACAUAACUAGCAGUGUCUCCCCCACCACAGUACAUAGCUAACUAGCAGUGUCUCCCACACCACAGUACAUGACUAGCAGUGUCUCCCACACCACAGUACAUGACUAGCAGUGUCUCCCACACCACAGUACAUGACUAGCAGUGUCUCCCACACCACAGUACAUGACUAGCAGUGUCUCCCACACCACAGUACAUGACUAGCAGUGUCGUCUCCCACACCGGCUGCAGUCUUUCUGCUCCAGACCCAGGUAAGGAGAUUCUGAUUCCCAGCGGUUCCCGAGGAAGCCCCAGUCCUCCCCGUGAGUGCACAUCCCCAGGUGCUGUAUUCCCGUGAUCCCCUCCAGCCCGGUCUCUGCUGGGGUCAUCUCAUUUGUGGAUGGUCCCACUGUCCGGCAUGCUCUGUCUGUGCCUGGGGGGCCCAGCUUCGGGCUGCUAAACCCCUCUCCUGUGUGUACUCGCGGCCACACGCACACCUGCAGGCGCACACGUCUGUGCUUCAGCCUCUGCACAGGCAUCUGCUCUUAGGCCUGGGGGGGCAAGAUCCCAGCAGAGCAGGAGGUCGAAGCCUUGCCCUCGUGGCCCAAGGACCAAGCAGCACAGACCGCUGAGCAUCCCUGUGCUUUAGAGGCCUCAGACUUCCAUCAUCUUGUCCCAUUCAGAGGGGCCUGUCUAGCCUGGGGGCCCCUCUCCUCCAUGGUCAUUUCCAUGGUCGCAGGCCAAGGGUCCCUUCCAAGGACAUGAUAUGGGACAGGGGGCUUAGGGGAUGAUCCGUCCCACUCGGGGGGAUCUUGUAGGCAAACGGGAAGGUGGGAGAGGGCAGGAAGGGGCUCAAAGGCAUGGCCCAAAGGAAGCGUGGCUUGGCAGGUCCCCUGGGGCUCUGCAGCCUGAAAGGGGCCACAGUUGCCCACCUGGAGCCGAGGGUGGGUGGCUCAGACCGCUGUGUUGUCAGUCAUUGGCAGAGGAUGAGCAGUGUGACCACCCCGGCUUCUGUGGACCACCAGGUCUCAGUGGAAGGUGCAGGGGACACUCAAUAGGUGGCCCAGGACUCGCCAGCCUUUCCCUGGUGAGGGGCUGAGCAGGUCACCAAGGGUGUCAUGGCCCUCUGCCUUCUCCAGGGCCUCUAGAAAUUCUCAAAUCUCCUCCCUUAUUUAGGCGAAAGAUUUAACAGCCCCCUUAGGACCGCCCCAAGCCCCCACCUUUGCACACAUAUCCAGCUGCUCGGCUGCACAGCCAGGUGCGGGCACCCAUCAGGAGGCAAGUGGGUUCCCAGCCUCUCCUCCUGGUGAACAGAAAAUGCCCUGAAGGCACCGGCUCUGAGUGACAGCCAAAUGUGCUGCCUCCCAGGACGCCACCGUUGGAGACGGUGCAUUUCCCCUGCCAAACCAAAUAAGGUCCCCAGCUGGCCCACCUGCCUGAGCGGCGGCCUGCGCGCUCCCGCGGCGGCCCGGGAGGCGGCCGCCCGGCGCGCUCCAGCUUGGCUCGGUGGCAGGUGACGCACAGCCCCCGAAGGGUUGUGUAAUCCUGAGCGGUGGCACCUUGGUUUCCACUAAAAAUACACCCUGGAACUGGGGCACCGUGGAGGAUCGCUGGCAAACCGGGAAGAGGGAUGAAUAAGGACGCCUGAUCCCGUCUGAGUCAGCGCUGAGCUCCGCGUGGACCCCCUCCGCUCAUCACUGUCAUCGGUAAGAGCUCCAGCAGUCCCCGGGGCCUGGGGUCUUGUGAGUCACCGCGAGGACUUGCCCGGGUGUAAACAGAGGCGUGAGCGCAGAAGUGGGUGCUCUGGGCCGGGCCCUAACCCGCCCUGGAGCAGGGGCCUGGCUGACCUUGGGGACCCGCGCCCAGGACCCUGCUGAAUCAGGACGAAAUGCUUUCAGCCAUAAGUCACAGGAAACCCGAUCGAUGCUGCCCGGCUGGAAGGCUGUGCGUGUUCAUUCAUGAGACCUCUGUAGGCAGGGAGCCUCCCCGCGUCAGGAAGGAUCCAGACCCCUCCAGCCUGUCUUUCUCGGCAUUUUGAUUCCUCAUCCUCAAACUUAUUGCCUCAAGUCACAAAAUGACUGCCACGGCUCUGGAUAUCAAGUCCUUAUGAAUAGUAUCCAGAGCUCGAUGGAGUUACUCUCUGUCCCCUCCCCCGCCCCAAUGGCGUCCUUCUCUCUGGGGAGCCCUCUCUUCUACAACCGGGAAAACUUUCCUCUUAUCUCACUGACCAGAAGCAGGUCACGUUUACCCCUGCGCCCGUCACCCGCAGAGGGAUGGAUUGGGCCAAUCAGGAGUCACUCCGGGAGGCUGCGCACAUUGAGCAAGCCAGUCCAGGGCAGCUCCCGGGCUGUGAAGCGGGGCUGCUCCACGCCCCCUGCCUGGAAUCUGGGUGGGGAGCCUCCGAUGGAGCCUGCUGGGCCGAGGCGGGAACACUACUCUUGCCCGUGGGAGCUGGAAAAAGUCCACAAGCACAGUCUCUGUGAUGGGAGAGAAGUUCCUUUCGUGACCGAGGAGCUGCUGGGUGUGGACGUCCAGGCGCAGACCGCCUGACCAUCUGGAGGAGGAACCCCCAGCGGCAUCCAGGACCUUGCACUGAAGAACAGACAAGAAUCACCUGGAGGGGCUGGGGAUGUGGCUCAAGCGGUAGCGCGCUCGCCUGGCAUGCGUGCGGCCCGGGUUCGAUCCUCAGCACCACAUACAAAACGGAGAUGUUGUGUCCGCCAAUAACUAAAAAAUAAAUAUUAAAAAAAAAAUUCUCUCUUAAAAAAAAAAAAAAGAAUCACCUGGAGGCCUGAGCGGGGAGGAAGUGAGAGCUGGGGUCGUCGGGAGGCCACGAGGGGCAGCGGGGGGAGCCCGGCCCGCGGACAGUACCUGGACUGCCGCCCAGCGCCUAAGAGAUUCGAGGCACAAUCCCAGGGCCUGUGACUGCGGGGCCUGGCCUGGCCAGAGGAUGCUGGAAGGCUUCCCGGAGGAAGUAGCUUUCAAGAUGAGAUCUGCAAGAGGAAAGGGUCACCAGCGGGGGAGGGAAAUUUCCCGGCACAGGGAGCAGCCUGCGUACAAGCGUGCAGCGUGCGCCAGCCAGCGUGCCCUCGCUGUGACAAAAACACCCAAGACGAUUAACUUAAAAGAGAAAAGGUUGUCAUUGGCUUGUGGUUUCAGAGGCUCCAUCUACAGCCAGGUGAACGGGCUACUCUUAGGUGUCUGAUGGAGGGGCCAGGUGGCCAAACCACUAUCAUCAUAAGCCAAGGAGAAGGAAGGAGGGCUGGGCCCCCAGCCCCUCCAGGACAAGCCCUCUAGGGACCCUCACCCCACCACAGGCCACAGCGAGCUGGAGAGGUUGGAGGAGGGCCUGGGGUCUGCCACCGUGAGUGGCAAGGAGACAACCAAAGAGAGAGGCUGCAUAUGUUAUCUGCAGAGACCGGGGAAGCUAUCAACAGGGAUGACAUGAUCAUUGCGCUUCAGAAAAAGAUUGGAAAAAAUGUAAACGCCCCUCCAUAAGCGACCGAGUCAACAAAUUAUGGUACCUCCACCCAAGGCAAAGUUUAGGAAUUUGAAAGAAAUUGGAGUUCGAGGGCCUUUCUGUGCAGAAAGGGAACAAUCUCAAAAACAAUUAGCUGAACCACCGCAGAACACAACAGUAUGUACAGAAGGCCGCUAACAGGAAGAGGGCAGGAACGUCCCCACAGGCCCCUGUGAUAAAGGCCUUCUUUAUCUUCUGCAGCGCUAUUGGGAGGUGGGGCCUUUAAGAGGAGGGGCCUAGUGGGAGGAAGUGAGGUCAUGGGGGUGCGCCUGGAAGAGGAUCAUGGGAUGCCAGGCCUCUCCCUCUUCCUCUGUUUCCUGGCUCCCAGGAAGGGAAUAGCCUCACCCACCAUGUGCUUCUGCCUCAAUGUACUGCCAGGGGCCCAAGGCCAUGGGGCUAAUCCGCCAUGAAGUAAAACCUCCAAAACCGUGACCCAAAGUUAACCUUCUCUCUCUCUCUCUCUCUCUCUCUCUCUCUCUCUCUCUCUCUCUCUCUCUUUUUUGGUCCUGGGGAUUGAACCCAGGGGUCUUAACCACUGAGCCACAUCCCCAGAGCCCCCCACCCGCUUUUUAUUUAGAGCUAGGGUCCCGCUGAGUUGCUGAGUGCUUUGCUAAGUUGCUGAGGCUGGCUUUGAACUCACAAUCUUUCCUCCUUAUAAGGUGGCUAACUCAAGUAUUUGUUACAGUAACAGAAAGCUGACACAAUUCAUUCAACAAAAGUACAAAGCAACCUUAGAACUCAUAGUUAAGGCUCACAAGAUCACUGUCAAAGAAACAUGAAACACGGGCUAAAAAGUCAUUCUGGCUCGGCAGUUUCUUAUCUUCGGACCCAACAAUUGCACUUUUCAGUAUCUGUGCAAGAGAAGUGAAAAAGUACGUUCACUGAAAGACAUGAAUGUUCAUAGCAGCCUUAUUUAUAAGGACCCCAAACUGGAAGUGGCCAAGUUUCACCCAACUGGUAGGUGAAUGAACAAGUUAUGGUAAGUCAACACAAGGAAAGAGUACUCAGCCGUGAGCGGGAACAAACAUGGACCCACGCACAAUGCAGAUGACUCCAGUGAACGAAGCCAGACACGGAAUGCUGAUCGCCCUAGUCACAUGUAUGUGGCACUCUGGAAAAGGACAAACCAUAGGGACAGAUGUUAAACUGUGACAGUUUGAAUUACUUCUAAUAAAAUUUCAGGAGCUGAGGUGGAAGAGGGAUUGAAAGGACACGGGGCAACAGAAACAGAAGUGUCCCGUGUCUCGGCUGAGAUGGUGGUUACCGGCCUUAGGCAUUCAUCAAAAUCCUUGCUCUGAACGAGCACGAAAUUCAGAAAGUGAAUUCUAUCGUUUGUCAAUGAGACCUCAAUAAACUUGACUGGGAAACAAACCAACUCAGGUUCUUGUUUUUUCAGACUCUGAGAAGAGGCUGCGCAGUCUCCCAUCCCCGC
rnacentral:lncRNA from 1 species